rnacentral:rRNA from 1 species
UACGGGGGGGCAAGCGUUGUUCGGAAUUACUGGGCGUAAAGGGCUCGUAGGCGGCCAACUAAGUCAGACGUGAAAUCCCUCGGCUUAACCGGGGAAUGGCUUCUGAUACUGGAUGGCUGGAGUUUGGGAGAGGGAUGCGGAAUUCCAGGUGUAGCGGUGAAAUGCGUAGAUAUCUGGAGGAACACCGGUGGCGAAGGCGGCAUCCUGGACCAAUACUGACGCUGAUGAGCGAAAGCCAGGGGAGC